rnacentral:rRNA from 1 species
GACGAACGCUGGCGGCGUGCUUAACACAUGCAAGUCGAACGGUAAGGCCCUUCGGGGUACACGAGUGGCGAACGGGUGAGUAACACGUGGGUGAUCUGCCCUGCACUUCGGGAUAAGCCUGGGAAACUGGGUCUAAUACCGGAUAGGACCCUGGGAUGCAUGUCUGGGGGUGGAAAGCUUUUGCGGUGGGGGAUGGGCCCGCGGCCUAUCAGCUUGUUGGUGGGGUGAUGGCCUACCAAGGAGACGACGGGUAGCCGGCCUGAGGAGGUGACCGGCCGGACAGGGACGGCGGUACGGCCCAGACGCCUACGGGAGGCAGCAGUGGGGAAUAUUGCACAAUGGGAGCAAGCAUGAUGCAGCGACGCCGCGUGAGGGAUGACGGCGUUCGGGUUGUAAACCUCUUUCAGCACCGACGAAGCGCAAGUGACGGUAGGUGCAGAAGAAGGACCGGCAAACUACGUGCCAGCCGCCGCCGUAA